GGCCCGGCCCUGCCCAAGGGCGGCCUUGGCGACGGCCCAGGGCACAAGAGCAAGUGGGGGCACACAAUUUUUAUAUAUACAACUAUACAUAUAUGUACAAACAUAAAUAUAUAUAUAUAUAUAUAUAUAUAUAUAUAUAUAUAUAUAUAUAUAUAUAUAUAUAUAAUUAUAUAUUUAAUUAUAUAAAAUUAUAUAUGUAUGGAAUGGAACGAUAGUGGAAGAAAAAUUUUAAAAGUAGAGAAGGGAAUGAGAAAGUGUCUGCCAUUUGGUAUUAAUUUAUAGUGGUAUCCGAAGAAAAAGCCCCAAAUGUAGGGAAAGGAAUGGAAUAGUGCCGGGCAUUUGGGCACCUAGGCCAUAGCUUUAUUGAGAAUUGGAAUCAUGCGUCUGAAAAGCAUAUUGCCGGCAAAACUGCAAGAGACCAAGAGUCAUAGCUGUCUUGCUCUCUCCCUCUCUCUCCCAAGUUCGAAACGUUAAAACCCAGCAAGUGUUUUCUUUAAAUUGGUUGCAAUGGCUACUCAAUUCCAGAUUUCCAUUUUCCAGGUGCAAUUAGAAGUUGGAUAUGCAAGUCAAUCUCGAUCAGAAAAGAAAAAACAAGAAGGAAAAGGAUUGAUUCCAGAUUUCCAGAUUUCCAGGUUUUAUUGUUCUAUCACUUCUAUGCUAGUGUGUAUCAUUCAAAGUUUAGACUGUUUAGUAUUUUGGCUUGCUUGUUUGAGUUUUGUCUAGCUAGUUUCAAUAAUGUUUCCUCCGAAACAACUCUCAGGUUCUCAAAAAAGAAAAAGAAAGAAAAGAGAAGAAGAAAUUAUUCAAUCUCAACGGGGAUCUUUAGAUAAAUAUUUUGUUACAGAAACAAAAGAAUCUAUUGAAAAUCAUGUUGAGAAUUUAGUAAAUGAACCUAAACUACAAAUUCACUCUAAUGAGUUUGUAGAAAAUUUGAAUGAGGUAAACGAAGAACUUGAUGAUAUAGGUGAAAAUGAAAGUGACGAAUCAGAAAAUAAUGAAAAUCCUUGCCAUGAUGAAGUUAUUGCCAAUGAACUUGAGUGCUUGAAAUCAUCAGCUGAUUUGAAUAUUUUUGAUCCUAGAGUUUGGGAUUGUCUAGAUUCAAAAAUGAGAGACUUGCUUGUAGAAAAAGGACCUAUUACAGAAACUAAUAUCAACUUUCCUAAGGAUGAAUUAGGUCGGCACUUUUCCUCUUAGUUUUACGUUCGAAAAUUACCAAAUGGUGAAUCUCUUGAUAGAAAAUGGUUGAUUUACUCAAAAAAGCUGGAUAAAGUUUUUUGUUUCUGUUGUAAACUAUUUAAAACAGCUCGCUUGAGAAGUCAAUUAGCAAGUGAAGGGAUAAGAGAUUGGAUGAUGAUGAAUUGAAAAGCUGUUGUUUGAAUCUUGAAAAUGCUUUGAGAAAUGGUGAGGGUUCUGAUAUUGAUGUGAAAUAUUUGCUUAUGAGUUAUAAAUUUUGUAAGAGAUGUUGCCGAAUGAGGCAUAUGAAACAGAUAGGCAUUGGACAUCCAUUCAAAUUAUGGAGUUUGCAAAGAAAAUGGAUAUGUUUCCAAGUGUUAUGGUUGCCUACAGGAUUUUAUUGACUAUACCGGUGACUGUAGCAUCCGCUGAAAGAAGUUUUUCAAAAUUGAAGUUAUUGAAGUCUUAUCUUCGGACUACCAUGACUCAAGAUAGACUGAAUGGAUUAGCGAUUUUAACCAUUGAAAGAAAUAUGUUGGCAAAUGUUGACUACGAAAAGAUAAUUGAUGAUUUUGCUUCAAGAAAUGCAAGAAUACAUCAUUUAGAUGAUUUGUAAACUUUUUUAUACGGGGUUUUGGUUUUAUGUCCUCCCUGUUGUGUAAUGUUUCUUUAUGUAAUAGAGUAUGACAUUUGAAAGAAUCA